AGUGGCGAACGGGUGAGUAACAUAUCGGAACGUACCCAGUAAUGGGGGAUAACUAGUCGAAAGAUUAGCUAAUACCGCAUACGCCCUGAGGGGGAAAGCGGGGGAUCGAAAGACCUCGCGUUAUUGGAGCGGCCGAUAUCUGAUUAGCUAGUUGGUGGGGUAAAGGCCUACCAAGGCGACGAUCAGUAGCUGGUCUGAGAGGACGACCAGCCACACUGGAACUGAGACACGGUCCAGACUCCUACGGGAGGCAGCAGUGGGGAAUUUUGGACAAUGGGCGCAAGCCUGAUCCAGCCAUUCCGCGUGAGUGAAGAAGGCCUUCGGGUUGUAAAGCUCUUUCGCAAGGGAAGAAACGAUACAGUCGAAUAAACUGUGUUAAUGACGGUACCUUGAUAAGAAGCACCGGCUAACUACGUGCCAGCAGCCGCGGUAAUACGUAGGGUGCGAGCGUUAAUCGGAAUUACUGGGCGUAAAGCGUGCGCAGGCGGUUAUGUAAGUCAGAUGUGAAAUCCCCGGGCUCAACCUGGGAACUGCGUUUGAAACUACAAGGCUAGAGUGUAGCAGAGGGGGGUAGAAUUCCACGUGUAGCAGUGAAAUGCGUAGAGAUGUGGAGGAAUACCAAUGGCGAAGGCAGCCCCCUGGGUUAACACUGACGCUCAUGCACGAAAGCGUGGGGAGCAAACAGGAUUAGAUACCCUGG
rnacentral:rRNA from 1 species